AUGGCAAUAUUAAUAUACAAAAUUCAUAAAUAUCUACUAAAAUGUCCAAAACCCGGUGUCACAAGUGCACGAGCGAUCUAGUAGAAUAUACAAACUACUACAACUACUGUCCGAGAUGAAAUAGACAGAAAUAUAAAAUACAACAGGAAGGAGACUGCGGGUGCUGCAGAUCAGAGCAUGGAGGAGCAGCUCACCACUAAGUCUCCGGGUAAUGUGGAUGCACCCGGAUUGGAUACCAGAUGUACCUGCCUCAAUACCUGCAUUAUUUGUGCAGAAGCAUAACAUGAGUGCAUAAACAAUGUAUACCCAUUAAUAGUCCAACCUCGAAGAAGUAGUGACAAGUGUCAACAUCGACACUUGCCAAUGGUCAAUAAAUAAAGUUCAAGGAUAAUAAAUAGGCAUGAAAUACAACAGUAACAAUAGAAUAAGAAGCAAUAAAUAAGUGAUUCUUUAACAAAAUAUCAAUUUAAAAUAAUCAAAUACCACAUGCCAAUUUAAACAAACAAGAGCCAUCAAAUAAUCAUCAAUUUUCAAGUCAUGAUGGGAAUAUCAAGUACAAUCGGACUACUAGCAAUAUUAUGCACGAGUUAUGCCGAGGUCGNNNNNNNNNNNNNNNNNNNNNNNNNGUAUAUAUAUAUAUAUAUAUAUAUAUAUAUAUAUAUAUACAGAGAGAGAGGAAUAGAGAAACUCUUCAUACUACAUAUAUAUACACGUGAUCCACAGGAAUAUAGAAACUCUUCAGACUACGGGACAUACAUUUACAACACUAUGAUAGGCAUAUAAAGUGUAAUAAUCUGGCCUAUCAUUUUGAGUACUUUAACCCCGUUCCUCUAUUUAUUUCCUCCUCUACAUUAAAUUGUGGUUAUGUGACUUUCCGGGGUGGUUGAUCUGGUUUCGGGUGAGUUUCAGAAUGAAUCGGGACACUUAGUCCCAAAACGGGAGGCUUAAGUUGAAAGAGUUGAUCGGAGUUUGACUUUUAUGUAGAUGAUUCCGGAAUAGAAUUUUGAUGGUUCCAAUAGCUUCGUAUGGUAAUUUUCGACUUAGGAUUUUGUACGGAUAUUGAUUUGUAGGUCCGUAGGUUGGUUUGCAGCUUUUUCGCAAGGUUGAUAGGUUUCACCAAGGGUUGAAUUUGUUGAUAUCGCAAUCGGAUUGUGGUUCUAGGAGUUGGUAUAGGUCCGUUGUUCCAUUUGGGACUUCUAUGCAAAAUUUGAGCUCAUUCAGAGUUGGUUUGAUGUGAUUCAACAUUAGUUUUAGACAUUGAAUGUUCAUUAGUUCAUUAGGCUUGAAUUGGGCUGUGAUUUGUAGAUUGCGUCACGACCCAAACUAAUGGACCACGACGAGCACCUGGUACCUUACUCAACCGAGUACCAAUGUAACGUAUCUUUCUUUUUGCAUCAUUAUAUACACAUGACAUACGGGCCUAAUAGGCCAACAUGAUUUUUUAUAAACUCAAACCAUAGGCGGACCAGGCCGUACAAUCUUUUAUAUACACGACAUAUGUCUACAAGCCUCUAAGAGUACAUAAAUAUCAUAAAGGACGGGAUAAAGUCCCGCCAUCCCAAACAAUACACGUCUAAAUCAUACUAACCAAACGAGCAACUCCGAAGCAAAUAGAGUGCACCAACAUCUUCCGCUAAGCUGAUAGCCUACUUGGAGGGCUCUCGACCUGUCUAUCGGGACCUGCGGGCAUGAAAUGUUGUGUCCCCAGGCAAAAGGGAUGUCAGUAUGAAUAUUGUACCGAGUAUGUAAGGCACAUAAAUAAGCACAUAAGAGACAUGGAAGAAAUAUAGAGUACAUGACUCAAACUGUAAGUCUGGAUAACUUUGUAAAUCAUAAAUUACUUUUAGCAUCAUCCAUAUGCGUAUGAAUGUCAUGUCGUGCAUAGGUACAUGUUUCAUAACAUCAUCAGCCUCUUAGGGCAUUCCAUCAUAUCAUAUCGGCCACUGUGGGCAAAAUCAUCAUCGUAUACCAGCUGAUCAGGUGGUGGUGCAUAUAUAACGCCAUAACCUUUCCCGUAUCCCAUAUACAUAUACAUACAUACAUAUAUACGCAUAUAUAACGUCGUUUGAAUCAUAUUUCAGCCACUGUCGGCAACAUCAUCAACAUAUACCGGCUGAUCAGGUGGUGGUGCGUAUAUAACGCCGUAACCUUUUUUCCAUAUCCCAUAUACAUAUAUUUACAUAUAUACACGUAUAUAACGUCAUCUAGUCAUGGGUCAAUGCACAUGUAUAAAUGAGUGAAAUACAUGAAAUCUACAUAAUAAUCUCGAUAUUCCUUCCGGAUAAACUUUUCCAACCGCGUAUUAUUCUGAGACCCAUGAACAAAAGAUAAUAAUAAUUCUCAUGGGGAAUCACGAAUAUAAACACCCUUACUAUUUCUAUGAAUAGAGUAAUUUAUAGAAACUGUGUAUUUGCUCAUUUCUUCAGUACAAUUUGGACCAUUCCAAAAGAAAGAAGGGAGGGCUUUAACAUACCUGGAGUAGGGAAAAAUCCGUAUAAUAUUCUUGGCGAGGAUUGCACUGUACUCUUUUAGAAUCGCAAAAUUUGGACGGAACUAAGCUUCUGCUAUUGGCUUUACAGUGUAUGAACCAAGCAAGAAAAUGUUCUUGCUAUUGUUUGUUUUCACGUUUUUGGUUCAAUACAUAAUACAAAUAUAAAUUAUUGUUGCUUUUGAAAUUUCAAUUGAGAUUUUUUUUGGCUAAGAGUGUUGACAAGAAUGACUUCUGCCCGAUGUUUUUGGUCUUUAAAACCAAAUCAAUCAACUAAAGCUAAAGAUCCUAAAUGCAAGUAAAGGCAAAAUUGGAAAUUGUUGUUUGAAAUGGA
rnacentral:lncRNA from 1 species